UACGUAGGUGACCAGCGUUGUCCGGAUUUACUGGGCGUAAAGAGCGCGCAGGCGGUCGUUCAAGUCGGGUGUGAAAGCCCCCGGCUCAACUGGGGAGGGUCACUCGAUACUGAUCGACUUGAAGGCAGGAGAGGGAAGCGGAAUUCCCGGUGUAGUGGUGAAAUGCGUAGAUAUCGGGAGGAACACCAGUGGCGAAGGCGGCUUCCUGGCCUGUUCUUGACGCUGAGGCGCGAAAGCUAGGGGAGCAAACGGG
rnacentral:rRNA from 1 species